AAAAGCAAGUCGCGUGUUUUCUGUUUCAAGGGUUGAACCCUUAUUCUUCUCUGCCAUCGUGAUGUAGUCUCAACCUCUAGGGUUUCGAUUCGUCUUCUUCCUCCAACCCUGAUUUUUACCAGUUUCAGAUUCAUCUUCUUAAAGUCCUCCUUGAUUCCAUUAUCCACGAUCUACAUUUAUUUUUUGCUUCGCUCUUGCAAAACGGUGGAAACCUCUCAGUAUAUAAAGUUUUUCUUUCUGACUCGAAGUCUGGAAGAUGUUCUUCCACAAUUGAGAUGAGGUUGUUUCGUUUCUAGGAGGCGAAGAAUAUUGGGCGGCGAGCCUAUGGGCGUCUACAUACUCCACCUCGGCGUUAAGGUAAUUCCGGCGAAAGUAAUAAUAAAUCUCUUUCCUUUUCAAUGAAGAUAUUUGAGCUUUACAAUUUACGAUACCAAACAUUUGACAAUUACAGGCUCUUUGAUUUGAUUUCUGGGUUAUUUUUAGUUCUGUUCACGUUUUUUUUUUUGGUUUUAGUAUAUAGCCAUCGAAGAAAAAAUUCGAUUAUGUUCUUCACACUUCAGAGUCUGAACCUUGGCACUUGAAUCAUCUUAUGGCUUUGCUUUUCCAUCCGUUGAAAUUUAUCGCCUUAACUCAUUGUCUUGAAAACUCUUGAUUCCAAUGAUUUGUAUGGUGCAUCAUGAGGAUCUGAUAAGUUUAAACAUUCGUCACCUAGAUACUGUCUUAUUUGAUAGAUCUAACAUCAACCAGAGUUUGGAAAACAAAUUUAAAGAUAUGAAAAAUGUUUAAAAGAAGCUCUAUGAUCUACAUAAUACUAAGAGCUCUGUCUAAUAUAUGUUACAUUAAGUCUUUGAUUUGUAGUUUGGUUCUUAUUGUUCCAGGUUCUUCUUCUACUUGAUGCAGGUUGCCCUUGGUCGUUCUGCUUCUGAUUGCAAUCCGUCAUGCGAUUUUUGAAGUCUCCAAGUUUAUCUGUUUCAUGGUGAAGCUCGACAUCUUUUUACAGAUAUGCCAAAGGGAAAGUUGAAAAACUUAUUUUACGCUUAUGGCUUAUUUAAAGCUUAUGAAGGAUUAGAAUUUUCAAGGACCGGAAGCACUGCAGUUAAAAACGGUUUUUGAUUAGAACUUUUGCCAGCUUGAUAAACAACCAAGCUUGAUUGUAUUGUAUGUGUAUCUUAUCGAAUUUUGUUAAACAGAAAUAUCUCUACUGUAAAAGUCUUUUUGUAUGUU